rnacentral:tRNA from 1 species
GGGGUUGAGGCUCAGUGGUAGAGUGCUUGCCUAGCAUGCAUGAGGCACUGGGUUCGAUCCUCAGCACCA